AUCCCGUGGUGAGGAUACGCAAGGAUAUAGUCUUGUAGUCUGUCCCAUGCUUCAGAUAUUGAUUCAUUUGACGCAUGCUGAAAUCCAGAAAUUCUUCCACGGAGGGC